rnacentral:rRNA from 1 species
AUUGAACGCUGGCGGCAUGCCUUACACAUGCAAGUCGAACGGCAGCGCGGGAGCAAUCCUGGCGGCGAGUGGCGAACGGGUGAGUAAUACAUCGGAACGUGCCCAAUCGUGGGGGUUAACGCAGCGAAAGCUGUGCUAAUACCGCAUACGAUCUACGGAUGAAAGCAGGGGAUCGCAAGACCUUGCGCGAAUGGAGCGGCCGAUGGCAGAUUAGGUAGUUGGUGAGGUAAAGGCUCACCAAGCCUUCGAUCUGUAGCUGGUCUGAGAGGACGACCAGCCACACUGGGACUGAGACACGGCCCAGACUCCUAAGGGAGGCAGCAGUGGGGAAUUUUGGACAAUGGGCGAAAGCCUGAUCCAGCCAUGCCGCGUGCAGGAUGAAGGCCUUCGGGUUGUAAACUGCUUUUGUACGGAACGAAACGGUCUUUUCUAAUAAAGAAGGCUAAUGACGGUACCGUAAGAAUAAGCACCGGCUAACUACGUG